rnacentral:rRNA from 1 species
UGACACAGGUGCUGCAUGGCUGUCGUCAGCUCGUGCGUGAGAUGUUGGGUUAAGUCCCGUAACGAGCGCAACCCUUGUCCUUAGUUACCAGCACGUUAUGGUGGGCACUCUAAGGAGACUGCCGGUGACAACCGGAGGAAGGUGGGGAUGACGUCAAGUCAUCAUGGCCCUUACGGCCUGGGCUACACACGUGCUACAAUGGUCGGUACAAAGGGUUGCCAAGCCGCGAGGUGGAGCUAAUCCCAUAAAACCGAUCGUAGUCCGGAUCGCAGUCUGCAACUCGACUGCGUGAAGUCGGAAUCGCUAGUAAUCGUGAAUCAGAAUGUCACGGUGAAUACGUUCCCGGGCCUU